rnacentral:rRNA from 1 species
UACAGAGGGGGCAAGCGUUGUUCGGAAUUACUGGGCGUAAAGGGCGCGUAGGCGGCCUGUUAAGUCGGACGUGAAAUCCCUCGGCUCAACCGGGGAACUGCGUCCGAUACUGGCGGGCUUGAAUUCGGGAGAGGGAUGUGGAAUUCCAGGUGUAGCGGUGAAAUGCGUAGAUAUCUGGAGGAACACCGGUGGCGAAGGCGGCAUCCUGGACCAAUUCUGACGCUGAGGAGCGAAAGCCAGGGGAGCAAACGGG